rnacentral:rRNA from 1 species
GUGGGGAAUAUUGGACAAUGGGGGCAACCCUGAUCCAGCGACGCCGCGUGUGUGAAGAAGGCCUGCGGGUUGUAAAGCACUUUUAGUGGGGAGGAAAUGCUCAGACCUAACACGUCUGGGAACUGACUUAACCCACAGAAAAAGCACCGGCUAACUCUGUGCCAGCAGCCGCGGUAAUACAGAGGGUGCAAGCGUUAAUCGGAAUUACUGGGCGUAAAGCGUGCGUAGACGGUUAUCUAAGUCGAGUGUGAAAGCCCCGGGCUCAACCUGGGAAUUGCAUUCGAAACUGAAUAGCUAGGGUGCGGAAGAGGGAAGUGGAAUUUCCGGUGUAGCGGUGAAAUGCGUAGAUAUCGGAAGGAACAUCAGUGGCGAAAGCGACUUCCUGGUCCAGCACCGACGUUCAGGCACGAAAGCGUGGGGAGCAAACAGGAUUAGAAACCCCUGUAGUCC